rnacentral:rRNA from 1 species
GGCCUUAUCAUCAACUAUUACUCGACUUACACAUGCAAGUCUCCGCACACCCGUGAGAACGCCCUUUACCCCUCUACAGGAUAAGGAGCUGGUAUCAGGCACAGACAAUCUUGCCCAUGACACCUAGCCACGCCACGCCCUCAAGGGUAUUCAGCAGUGAUAAACAUUGUUUAUAAGCGCCAGCUUGACUCAGUCAGGGUAAACAGAGCCGGCUAAUCCGGUGCCAGCCGCCGCGGCUACACCGUCGGGCUCAAGUUGACUACACCGGCGUUAAGCGUGAUUAAAGUGAACUUGCGAUUAGAAUUAAACUUUAACCAAGUCGUGACACACUUGCUAUUAGGAAGACCAUAAACGAAAGUUAUUCUAACAUACCCACUUGAACCCACGACAGCUGGGGCACAAACUGGGAUUAGGUACCCCACUAUGCCCAGCCGUAAAAUAUUAACUCACACUCAAAACCGCCAGGGAAUUACGAGCCCAAGCUUAAAACCCAAAGGACUUGACGGUGUCCCACCCACCUAGAGGAGCCUGUUCUAUAAUCGAUUCUCCCCGAUAAACCUCACCACUUCUAGCCAACUCAGCCUGUAUACCUCCGUCGUAAGCUUACCAUAUGAACGCUAAUUAGUGAGCUUAAAGAUCUUUACAUCAACACGUCAGGUCAAGGUGCAGCUCACGAAGUGGGAAGUAAUGGGCUACAAUUUCUAACUUAGAACACACGAAAGACUACAUGAAACACAGUCAUGAAGGCGGAUUUAGCAGUAAAAAGAAAAUAGAGAGUUCUUUUUAAUUAGGCGCUGGGACGCGUACACACCGCCCGUCACCCUCUUCAAACGC